rnacentral:misc_RNA from 1 species
AACGAGGCCGACCUGCGGCUGAGUUACCUGCGGAGGGAUCAUUACCGAGUGAGGGCCCUCCGGGUCCAACCUCCCACCCGUGUUUAACGAACCUUGUUGCUUCGGCGGGCCCGCCUCACGGCCGCCGGGGGGCACCCCGCCCCCGGGCCCGCGCCCGCCGAAGACACCUGUGAACGCUGUCUGAAGUUGCAGUCUGAGACACUAGCUCAAUCAGUUAAAACUUUCAACAACGGAUCUCAG